rnacentral:rRNA from 1 species
UACGAAGGGUGCAAACGUUGCUCGGAAUUAUUGGGCGUAAAGCGCACGUAGGCGGCGCAGUAAGUCCCAUGUGAAAGCCCACGGCUUAACCGUGGAAGUGCAUGGGAAACUACUGUGCUUGAGUACUUAAGAGGAUCGCGGAAUUCCCGGUGUAGAGGUGAAAUUCGUAGAUAUCGGGAGGAACACCAGUGGCGAAGGCGGCGAUCUGGGAAGUUACUGACGCUGAGGUGCGAAAAGCGUGGGGAGCAAACAGG